GACGAACGCUGGCGGCGUGCUUAACACAUGCAAGUCGAACGGAAAGGCCCUGCUUGCCGGGUACUCGAGUGGCGAACGGGUGAGUAACACGUGGGUGAUCUGCCCUGCACUUCGGGAUAAGCUUGGGAAACUGGGUCUAAUACCGGAUAGGACCGCACUUUAGUGUGUGUGGUGGAAAGUUUUUUCGGUGUAGGAUGAGCUCGCGGCCUAUCAGCUUGUUGGUGGGGUAAUGGCCUACCAAGGCGGCGACGGGUAGCCGGCCUGAGAGGGUGUACGGCCACAUUGGGACUGAGAUACGGCCCAGACUCCUACGGGAGGCAGCAGUGGGGAAUAUUGCACAAUGGGCGCAAGCCUGAUGCAGCGACGCCGCGUGGGGGAUGAAGGCCUUCGGGUUGUAAACUCCUUUCGCUAGGGACGAAGCUUUUUGUGACGGUACCUAGAUAAGAAGCACCGGCUAACUACGUG
rnacentral:rRNA from 1 species